UACGGAGGGGGCCAGCGUUGCUCGGAAUUACUGGGCGUAAAGGGCGCGUAGGCGGCCUUCUAAGUCAGACGUGAAAUCCCCCGGCUUAACCUGGGAACUGCGUCUGAUACUGGGAGGCUAGAGUGCGGGAGAGGGAUGCGGAAUUCCAGGUGUAGCGGUGAAAUGCGUAGAUAUCUGGAGGAACACCGGUGGCGAAGGCGGCAUCCUGGACCGACACUGACGCUGAGGCGCGAAAGCUAGGGUAGCAAACGGG
rnacentral:rRNA from 1 species